rnacentral:rRNA from 1 species
AACGAACGCUGGCGGCAUGCCUAACACAUGCAAGUCGAACGAGUGCCUUCGGGUGCUAGUGGCGCACGGGUGCGUAACGCGUGGGAAUCUGCCCUUUGGUUCGGAAUAACAGUUGGAAACGACUGCUAAUACCGGAUGAUGACGAAAGUCCAAAGAUUUAUCGCCAGAGGAUGACCCCCGCCGCGUAGGAUUAGCUAGUU